rnacentral:rRNA from 1 species
CCUACGGGGGGCAGCAGUCGAGAAUCAUUCACAAUGGGGGAAACCCUGAUGGUGCGACGCCGCGUGGGGGAAUGAAGGUCUUCGGAUUGUAAACCCCUGUCAUGUGGGAGCAAAUUAAAAAGAUAGUACCACAAGAGGAAGAGACGGCUAACUCUGUGCCGGCAGCCGCGGUAAUACAGAGGUCUCAAGCGUUGUUCGGAAUCACUGGGCGUAAGGCGUGCGUAGGCUGUUUCGUAAGUCGUGUGUGAAAGGCGCGGGCUCAACCCGCGGACGGCACAUGAUACUGCGAGACUAGAGUAAUGGAGGGGGAACCGGAAUUCUCGGUGUAGCAGUGAAAUGCGUAGAUAUCGAGAGGAACACUCGUGGCGAAGGCGGGUUCCUGGACAUUAACUGACGCUGAGGCACGAAGGCCAGGGGAGCGAAAGGGAUUAGAUACCCCUGUAGUC